AGUUCAUCCCUUGAUGCAGAAAUGGAAGAGUGUUUAGCUCUUCGAGAAGGGAUCCUUUUAGUAAAAGAGUGCUUAGCUCUACGUGAAGCGUAGUUUUUUUUUUUUUUUUCAAUUUUGGUUCGUCCACAAUUAAUUAGUAUGGUCUUUCUAUUUUAGGACAUAUACCUUUAUAUUUUUAUCCCCGUUCACUCAAAAUAUUUACAAAAAAACUCAU
rnacentral:lncRNA from 1 species